ACUGGAACAAAAUAGUGUCCCUUGCCCAAGGACAGGCCAUAAUCAUAAAAGACACAGAACUAAACGAACUAUGGGCGACUAACCAUACGAAAAAAAUGGUAGGUUUUACAACCACCACUUGGGAUAAGUGGAGGAACGUACAUGCCACCAAAGGAGUUAUGUUCAUCAGUGACCAAGGAUGGGACACUGACGAACCAGGACCAGGACCUACAACAGUCAAGGUGAAACCAAAGGAGGAUAAACCUAGGGACAUAGUAGUGCUCACGGAUGGAAGUGAGAAAACAGGAAGUAACCAAGUGGGGUUUUAUUGUAAAAAACAAAGCCACUGGCGAAACACUCAUAAAAAGGAAACAUGAAAUAGCAGGCACUGCCCAGAAAGCAGAAGUCAUGGCCAUAAUGGAAGCACUGCUACACUGUUCUACACCCAAUCUAAAGAGAAUAGAACUGGUUACAGACAGUUACUACAGUGCCCAGGCCAUGACUUCUGACAAAAAGAUAUGGCAGAACAAUGGUUACAGAAGUGCUAAAAACAGAACAAUUCAGCACGAAGGAGAGUGGAGAAAGAUCCAUGAGUUAAUGGAUAGAAUGGAUAUUGUUGUCAGUCACCAAAAAGCCCACACAGUAGAUGGGGGUGGAAAGGAAGCUGACUUCAAUAAACAAGGUAACAGGGAAGUAGAUGAACUAGUCCAGAUGGGCAGAAUAAUUCUCUACAAAACUGAAGCAGACUAACUCAAGGCGUUACACAUAGAUUGGGGACAUCUAGGUCCCAAAAUCUUUAUGAAGCGUCUUAGACAGGACCAGAUUGAAUUUGACCCAGUAGAGGCCAAACUGGUGUGCCAGCAGUGCAUUACCUGUCAAGAGCAAAAGCCUAGUAAUCUAGGAAGAGUGUCUGAUCAACACAUCAAAACAUGCACGCCCUGGAGUCAAAUAGCAUUAGAGACUAUGGGUCCCAUGAAAAGUGCUACGGUACUGGGACAUAGGUAUGCUAUAGUAGCGGUGUGCAUGGCAACAGGCUACACAAUGGUACACACAGCGAAAACAUGCAAUGCUCUGCCUGUGUUGACAAUGCUUAACCUUUUGACUUUGACCCUAGGACGGUUUCAAUCGAUCAGGACUGACGAUGGACGUCAGUAUAAAAACAAAAAGGUAGAGGAAUGGUGCACCCAGAGGGGAGUAGAGCACACUUUCUCACCUCCCUACACCUCAAGCAAAUGGGUGUGCAGAGAGGACCAUUGGCAAACUCAAAACAACUUUGGGGUUGUGGAGAGCGGACAAAGAUUGGGGACCAAAGCUAGUGCAAGCAUGCAUAGAGUUAAGUAGCACCCCAACCAGUUCAGGGCCUAGUCCAAGAGAGUUAAUGGGAUUACCAGGACAAAAUAGUACGGUGGAUGUUCCUAAUCCCCAGUCUACCCCUCUACCUUGUGUUUUAAAGGUAGGAGACUGGAUCAGGAUUAGAAAAAAUCCAGCGGCAGAUAAAAGUGACCUGGUAGUACCAAAGAAAUACGGUAAAAGGCGUAUUAUUGAGGAAGUAAUAAGCGCUAAUACUGCGAGGACAGCUUGCGGAAGAGUUGACAUAGCACAAUUUAAGAAAGUAUGUCUUCCAUAAUCGUACCAGACUGGAAAUACCUCCUAGAGUGCAGAGCAGGCCUCCAAGUCAGGAGGAGUCCAAACACCAUUUGGGUAGGCAGGCACUUUAGACAUGAGGAAUUAGCCAGACAGGGCCUCAAAGGAGGGAGCACAGGAAGAGUAGUCUGGGAACGAAGCGUUCCGACAGGUCUACCUGGCUCAAGCAGACUGAAGUGUGUCCCUUGUGACGUAUGCAAUGAGCCCACUGGCGAUAUGCAAUACGAAGGGCCCGCUGAGCUAAGCAUCAGGCAACUAGAGAUGUGCCCUGAUGGAGCCUCAGGAGAGUAUAGGUGCAGGUAUGGAAGAGUUCAGACGUGUGGCAGGUGCAACUGCAACACCAUGACCAACUGUGCACUAGACAUAAGGACCAUUAAUGGUUCCUGGGACCCCAGAGGGUGCCAGUGUGCCUGGGAUAGAUAUGGAAACAUCUCAGACAAAGAUUGCCUGGAAUGUCGCAGACAGAGGGUCACAGAGGUCAAAACUAACCAGAAGUGCCCUCUUAAUCCCAGUUAGAAUAGAAGCACCACUCUGGCCCAUUCCCACUGGAACUGCAGGCCCAGACCCAGCUCUAACAGGUCAAAGGUUUAACUCCAGCUAUGAGUAUCUGAGAGAUAGGGACCUUGGAGAGGGACCUAGUGAUGGAUAUGGGAUAGACAGAGUCAACAGACAGGCCUGGAUGGAAACAGGACAAGGUGAAUGGAUCCUAGUAGACCCUAGUGUAGCCUGGGAUGGAGUGCUUCUGGAGUCCACGGGUUGGGACCAGGUGGACAAAUAUCUCCUAGACAACAACCAACAAACAUCCUGGAUGGAUGAGAAGGUGUUGGUGGGAAGGUCAGUGCAGGCCAGUUAGAGAGCUACACUGGGGCAGAGCAAUGGAAAAGGAACAAAUGUUCACUUUCGUCACCCCCAUGACUGGAGGAAAUGAUGUCCCUCCCCAUGAUGGAGAUGGCAGGAGAAGGUACAGGUUAGGCCUAGGAGGGCAGCUGUACUUAGCCCAGGACCCCGUGUAUAAAACUGAAGGAGUCUACUCUUGUCACAAGUACAUAUGUAGAGAUAGUGCUGCUGGAGAGGGAAAAGGUAAACAAAAGGCAGCACUCAAAAGAGAAUAUAGCCCACCUAAGAAAUCAUUCCUGGCUAGGGUGAAACUGGCAUUUUGAUCAGACCCUGGAGAGGGCCUAUCCAAACCCAGAAACCCAAUAGUUAAAAAAUAAACUAAAAGAUGCUCUCCCUCUUAUAUUUCACUGGAAAUAUGAAGUUGGGGGAGUACAGAACAAAGCAUAGGGAAUGUAAGAUAGGAUGAUGCUGGUGGGUAAGUGUGUUUUUAAUUAUAGUUGGCGUCCCCAGCGCCACCAUAUUAGGAUUGUAUUUGGGCCUAAAAUACGAUCAAGAAAAUGUAGAAAUGGGAAAAGUAAUAUACCUAAAGAAACAGGAAGAGUAAAAUACCUAAAGAAACAGGAAGAGUAAUAUACCUAGAGAAACAGGAAGAGUAAUAUACCUAAAGAAACAGGAAGAGUAAUAUACCUAGAGCAACAGGAAGAGUAAAAUACCUAAAGAAACAGGAAGAGUAAAAUACCUAAAGAAACAGGAAGAGUAAUAUACCUAGAGAAACAGGAAGAGUAAUAUACCUAAAGAAACAGGAAGAGUAAUAUACCUAAAGAAACAGGAAGAGUAAUAUACCUAAAGAAACAGGAAGAGUAAUAUACCUAAAGAAACAGGAAGAGUAAUAUACCUAAAGAAACAGGAAGAGUAAUAUACCUAGAGAAACAGGAAGAGUAAUAUACCUAAAGAAACAGGAAGAGUAAUAUACCUAGAGCAACAGGAAGAGUAAUAUACCUAAAGAAACAGGAAGAGUAAUAUACCUAGAGCAACAGGAAGAGUAAAAUACCUAAAGAAACAGGAAGAGUAAUAUACCUAGAGAAACAGGAAGAGUAAUAUACCUAAAGAAACAGGAAGAGUAAUAUACCUAGAGCAACAGGAAGAGUAAAAUACCUAAAGAAACAGGAAGAGUAAAAUACCUAAAGAAACAGGAAGAGUAAUAUACCUAGAGAAACAGGAAGAGUAAUAUACCUAAAGAAACAGGAAGAGUAAUAUACCUAAAGAAACAGGAAGAGUAAUAUACCUAAAGAAACAGGAAGAGUAAUAUACCUAAAGAAACAGGAAGAGUAAUAUACCUAAAGAAACAGGAAGAGUAAAAUACCUAAAGAAACAGGAAGAGUAAUAUACCUAAAGAAACAGGAAGAGUAAAAUACCUAAAGAAACAGGAAGAGUAAAAUACCUAGAGCAACAAAAAAUGUGAAAGUGACUUAAUCACAUUUAGAACAUACACAAAGAAAUGGGACAUCCUGGUACAAUGUGACACAGCCAAUGAAACUGAGUGUCCAGGUUUCCCCACUGUAAAGCUAAAAAGCAGAACUAAUUACACUAAGUGGAACAACAGCCUAGGUGAAAAUGUCACAAUAAUGGCAGCGUUAGGGUAUGCAAAACAAUUAGGCAUGCCGAUAGACAAAGUGUUCAAGAGAAUUUGGAAAGGACUGUUUAAACUACUGGUCAAAAUAAGUAAACUGGCCCUAACAAUUACCUGGUCAAUCUUCAAGGGGAUCAGAUGGUUGUUAAAAGGACUGAUCAUCUGGAGCAUGGUAUAUGAGAGAGUGCAUCCUCCUAGAAGACAGGGACCAGCAGUUCCUGUUGAACAGGAUGUACUGCUCAUGACCCCGAGAGGAACGGAUGUGACCCAAGUUUAAGGGGCAAAAAGUGACUACAUAAGUGAACCCUGAACAACUCAGGUCACGACACCUUCCUGAUCAGAGAUAAAGAAUCAUCCUACUCUCAAAACAACUUAAAUAAACAACCAGAAUAUUUAGGCAGUGAAACUUAAAGAUAUCCUCUACCAUGACAUCCAACGAAACUGACCAUGACACCUCGGCUGAGGCAUGCAGUCCCUUCACUGACCAGGUAUGGGAAAACAUCUGUUGUCAAAUAUUAGUUCUCGUAGUGUUUGGGAAAAUAGCAUGGGAAAAUAGGCAUAAUAAUGGCUUAGUAACUUGGGUUGCUCUAUUUAUCAAUUCAUUAGUGGCCAUUGAUAAACUAGGGUUAACAAUAUGACAAAAAAUAAUGCUGUCCGUUGUACCGAUAAUACUAAUCCAGAGAAUGUACACAAUAUUAGGAAAAUGUUAUUUGGUCUGUCUAUGCUUAGAAGCCUUAGCUGCAGCUAUGACUGUAGUAAGUAAAAUAGGUGCAAUAGAGAAGAACGGAACAGACGGUAAAAUGGAACCUGUGUGUGCUACCAUAAUUGGAAUACACUAUGUGGCGCGGAUCAUUGAAGCAGGCCUAGUUGGCAUGCUAUGUGUCCAAAUAGUCAAAUUAAUGAGAAAACUAAAACCAAAAGAUCAGCGGAAAACAGUCUUAAAGGCCAUCCCACUGGUCCUCUGGGUAACUGUCCUAUUGAUCCUAAGUUGCGGAGAAGAAAUGGGGUGGCCCACAAACAUUUUGAAAGUAGUUUGGGGAUUGUGUUUACCCAUAUUCUUUCCCCCCACUCCCAGCAGGACCAGGAGGAACACGUCAAGCCAUGGGAUGGGGUAAGGAUGGCUAAAGUAAUAGUGCCCCCCCCAGUGACAGAACCAAUAGGGGAAGCAGGGGUAUUAAUAGAGGUACAGGAGAGUAGAAUAUGGUUCAUAGACAUGUGGGCAAGACAUUUAGAUGCCCUUAAGGCAUAUACAAAUUGUGGGGGUUGUGGCCAAUUGGAACCAUUGCCACUAGGGAUAGACUCUACCAAUGGGGUAGUGAUAGGCGGAACCACCUUCAUAUGUGCUCAUUGUUACCAAGGGGGUGUAGCAUAACGCAUUAGGCGUAGCCAUGACCCCAUUGGUACUUAUGCGGGCCCAGUGACCUCGUGGGGAGCCACGGGGCCAGUAACAGAGGAGGGGGACAGAUGGAUCAGGAAGUUGAGUCCCAACGGACCCAACCUGAAUCUCUGGAAAAGCGAAUCAUGGCCCAGAAAGGCAUGGAGAAAGCCGGGAUACCGAACCUUGACCCUUAACCACCGGAGGGAGGGUGGCUGGGGACAUAGAAAAUGGUAUGCUGACCGGGCAGUGGGACGAGGCUCUGGUAGUCAAAGACCUGGAAGCCCAUUGGUCUCAGGAAGACCUCACCAUGCUAAAACAGAGCCCUUGGUUCAUGUGCUAGACCACUACUGAGUUGCCAAAUCUUCCCACCAAAAAGGGAAAGACUCAGCUGUGACCAGUGGAACCUAAGCAAUUAUGUGGCCGUAAAGGACCACUGGUUCCCUAGCGCAGACGAUAAAAUAGCCAUUAGAAAGGAUAAGAGAGAGCCAAUGUCCAAAGUGAUUGGGUGUACUGAGACAGGGGGAAGUGAAACUCUGGCUGACUUCAGUAGGAAGCACAGAAGAGGAACCCAAAGGAGGCAAAAUGGGUUCAGGCUUAGGGAGCCAGGGAAUCAUAGACAUUCUUACGGGCACACUUGUAUUACCUCAGUGCCCCCCAGACCCCAGCAAAGAGGGCCUGAAAGGAAUGGUCCAGACACAAAGUUAGAGCUCAGAUAUAGGGAGAACCACGCAGUCUUAGGACAUAGACUGGCCGACUUGACCCUGGCCGCAGAAAGAACUGUAGGAGCUCUGACCCAGAAUGACCCCCAGGGGAACGAUGGACCUCAAAGUCGCAGGGACAAAAAGAGAACCAGGAAGGGGCAAGGUAGACAAUAGGAGAAUAACCUUUCUUUCUCCAGGGCCCCAUGGAAGACACCCAGUCCGGGGAAGAUGAUUGGGAACAAGAAGAAGUUAAUAGGCCAAUAGGGCACAGAGUAAUAACCAGAUGGCAAGAAUUAGAACGUAAGGGUAUGACUGAGUCCCAGACACUAGGGAUUAUCCUGUAGGGUGGAUAGCACCAGUAGUAAUAAUUCCUUACCCUGACGCUCUUAAAACAUGUGGCUCAUGUGAUAGAAGUACUGAAGGGGUACUCAGCGGGACAUUAAUGUUAAGAGGACGGAUGUUAGACAACGUAUGUAUGUUAUGUCUAGCCCUCAGAGAUAAGUGGCCAACCCUAAAACCCAUAGUAAACAAGGGAGAUAGAUGGGGACAUGUAGAAGAGCCAGAAGAGUUACAUUUAACAAUGGUUUACAAGGGACAAGAAGUAGACUGGGAUAAGAGAACUGGCACUGUUGAAUUACAUGGGAUGGCUUACGAGACCUAUUCAACAGGUUGGAGAAGAAGGACCACAGAGACGGGUUCAAAGAUGCACAGGCUGUGAAUCAGGAACCAGAGGAAAGUACACCACCCAGUGGGGCAAUAAGGAUGGUGUUAGAGUGGCGCUUUGCAAGAGAUGCUUAUGUUGUCAGAGUUGUGCUAGAAAAAGGCAGGAGUGGUAUAGCGAGGACGAACAUGAGGUUUGGCCUAUGGAGAGAGAAUAUGCUGAUAUAUUUGAACAUGGUAGAAUAGCUACUAGAUGUAGACAUACAGAUGGUGUAUAUUUGAGAAUGAGGGCCAGAGCUGAUAAUAAGGCAACAAUGCCGGGACAUCGUAGCUGGGCAACAGUAUGGGGAAUAACGGCUAGGUCAGACGGACUAGUGCUAGGGAUAACCAGAGUUGGAAAUCAGAGUCCGGUUAAAGGCACUAAGAGAAAAGAGACAGGGGUAGAUCCUGGAGAGGGUGUAGUAAAACGCCAAAUGGAUCUACCUCCUGGUCCUCAUAGACAUUCUUAUGGGCACAUUUGUAUUACCUCAGUGCCCCCCAGACCCCAGCAAAGAGGGCCUGAAAUGAAUGGUCUUACCCACCAAGGGUAGAGACAGAGAUGACCUGGCCUACUGAAAAACCGGAUUGGGCAAAGCCACCAGAAGACGAUUCAAGCCAACCAACUAUUGAACCUGACUGGUGUCAGGAAGAAUCACCCUCUGCCUCAAGUGACACCUCUGAAUGGGGAACAGCUGAUAGACUCAUUGCUGAUAGAGUAAGGGCACUGUCAUAAACAGAGGCCCAUAUGCGCACUGUAAGAAAAGUGUUUCCUCAUUGUUGCUAGAGUAAUAGGCUCUGUCAUAACCAGAGGCCCAUAUAUGCACUGUAAGAAAAGUGUUUCCUGUUGUAAGAUAUGUCAUCACCCUCUCUGCUCUGAGGGAAUGGGAGGAGCAGUGGAUCGGGUGCAGAGAAUCAAACGGUAUAUAAAGAGACAUUUGCCAUUACUUUGGCGCUGACUUCUUGAAUUCUGAAUUCAUUUAGACAACCAUUUGACUUCGGGUAAAUUGACACCUGACUCAAAUUACUUAAAAGAUUCUAACUUGUCGGAUCUGAGAAGUGACUCUCCGAUAUACCGUUUAACUAUUGACCAGUUGUUUUGUCGCUUUGCGCCAGGCGCGUGGGUGCUGAUGCAAAUAUAUCCAGAAGUGUUCUCCGGAACCUCUCGAUUGAGCUCAGCAUCUCGACCUUGUUGCGGGCCACUGACACUGCGGUAGUUCAACGGGGUUGAGAGCCACUCUAGACCUUAAGGUUAUCCCUUGCUUUCUCUUAUGGAUGUCUGAAUUGACCCUGUGAUUUUGCGCCAGGCGCGUGGGUGUUGAUGCAAAUAUAUCCAGAAGUGUUCUCCGGAACCUCUCGAUUGAGCUCAGCAUCUCGACCUCGUUGCGGACACAGACUUUUUGAUAUUCCAUUUGGGGCAGGGAAUCACCAGCGGGUUCUCCCAUCCAGGCCAAACUUGAAUCUCUCAAUUUAGUAAAGCACCGACUCCAAUUCAACCUCUCAGCCAGUAGAGGGGAGUCGCUACCUAUCUAAAUUGUUAACAGAACUCUGACCGAUUGAAACUCUGCUCCUGAUCUCGUGGGUCUUCUCGUCAUCUCUCAGAGGCUGUAAUGAUGAGCAUGAUGAAGGCAGCAGGAGGGAGCUUGACCUUUCACUCCGGAAACCUCUGUUUGACUGCAAACAACACACACAAGAUCAUCCAGAUUCCUCCUCCUCAGGAUCUUCAGUGUGUUCUCUACAGCUCCCUCAUGGUCGUAUCUCUUCACCAUCUGAUCCACUGUGACCUGUCUGUCAGUGUUCUCCAGCUGGCUCUCUGGGAUGGGAGGAAAGCUAAACGGAUGGCCACUAGUCAGGUUAGACUGAAAUCUCCUCAACCCAUCUGAGUUCAUCUCUACCAGAGUGGUCAGCAACAGAACUGGAACAGCCAACGUUCUCUAAAACAACAAAGAUAACAACAGUGAGGAAGGAAUAUAAAACCUGACAACUGAAAUAAAAUAAAGAACAUG